rnacentral:lncRNA from 1 species
CCUCCUAAGCCAUUUGCCAAAUCAAGACCUUGAGCUACUAAAAUCUUAUAGACUUUCUAAGACCCACUUUCAUAAAAAUUGCAAGCCACGUAUCUAGAAUCAAGGGGAAAAGCAAGCAGGUAUCCCUCAAAGGAUAACAUGGCCCAAAGUGGUGCCUCAAAGGAAACAAGAGGAACUUCACCAUCAAGAGCCAGGCCCAUCCCAUUAGCUUAUAUGAUUUACAUAAACUACCACAUAAACUACACAAUGUAUGGAAAUUGCAUUAUGUAAUUUUGCAUUAUAUGUAAAUUACAUAAUUCCGUUAUGUAUAUUACAACAUGUAUAUGUAACUUACAUAUAACAAGGCAAUGUUGUGUCCUAAUAUUAAAGCUCAGGCCCAACCCAUAAACUCAUGGGCCUUAAAUUCAGACCAGGCUAGGCCCAGCUUGACGAGCUACUUGAAGGGGCCCAAACUCAAUCCAUGUCGGACUAGGUCUCUGAGGCCCCUCUAGGGGAUGGGGGGAGUGUAUGUACAAAUAUGUAUGUGUGUGUGUGUGUGUGUAGAGACAGACAAAGAGAGUCACUUUUCAAUAUGUGUUGGCAUGUGACUGUCAACUUCGGGAGGUGAGUUCACUGAAUCUUAUAACAUAAGUAUAAUUAGGUUUGAUUUGCAGACUGAUAUAUCCUUUUUUGUCUUCUCCAUUAGAAUGAAAUCAGAAUUGAAGGAUAACUCAAAAUCACAAGAAACCAAGGCCUGUGGUAUGCACAACGUCUGUGACAUGGGAAGCUGCUAGUGGGAGCACAAGCUCUAAAAGAGAAAAUCAUUCUUUUUUCAAUGCUCAUUUAGGGAAUCCCUCAAGUC